rnacentral:misc_RNA from 1 species
AACUUUCAACAAUGGAUCACUUGGCUCUCGCAUCGAUGAAGAACGCAGCGAAAGGCGAUAAGUAAUGUGAAUUGCAGAAUUCAGUGAAUCAUCGAAUCUUUGAACGCACCUUGCACCCUUUGGCAUUCCGAAGGGUAUGCUCGUUUGAGUGUCAUUGUACUCUCACACUCCCGAUGCGUUUGGAUUGGGAGUGGUGGACUUGGGUGUUGCUGCUUUACUGUGGCUCACCUCAAAUGGAGUAGUGCAACUCUUGGUUGGACAUAGUACGGCGUGAUAAGUGUCUUCGCCGGCGCCUCAUUAGAGGGUGGCCGAUCGGGAGCUCUGUGCUUCAAACCGUCUUCGGACAACAUCUGACAACUUGACCUCAAAUCGAGUAGGACUACCCGCUGAACUUAAGCAUAUCAAUAAGCGGAGGCU